GGGUUGUGAGGUUAAGCGACUAAGCGUACACGGUGGAUGCCCUGGCAGUCAGAGGCGAUGAAGGACGUGCUAAUCUGCGAUAAGCGUCGGUGAGGUGAUAUGAACCGUUAUAACCGGCGAUUUCCGAAUGGGGAAACCCAGUGUGUUUCGACACACUAUCAUUAACUGAAUCCAUAGGUUAAUGAGGCGAACCGGGGGAACUGAAACAUCUAAGUACCCCGAGGAAAAGAAAUCAACCGAGAUUCCCCCAGUAGCGGCGAGCGAACGGGGAGGAGCCCAGAGCCUGAAUCAGUGUGUGUGUUAGUGGAAGCGUCUGGAAAGGCGCGCGAUACAGGGUGACAGCCCCGUACACAAAAAUGCACAUAUUGUGAGCUCGAUGAGUAGGGCGGGACACGUGGUAUCCUGUCUGAAUAUGGGGGGACCAUCCUCCAAGGCUAAAUACUCCUGACUGACCGAUAGUGAACCAGUACCGUGAGGGAAAGGCGAAAAGAACCCCGGCGAGGGGAGUGAAAAAGAACCUGAAACCGUGUACGUACAAGCAGUGGGAGCCUCUUAAUGGGGUGACUGCGUACCUUUUGUAUAAUGGGUCAGCGACUUAUAUUCUGUAGCAAGGUUAACCGAAUAGGGGAGCCGAAGGGAAACCGAGUCUUAACUGGGCGUUAAGUUGCAGGGUAUAGACCCGAAACCCGGUGAUCUAGCCAUGGGCAGGUUGAAGGUUGCAACACUAACUGGAGGACCGAACCGACUAAUGUUGAAAAAUUAGCGGAUGACUUGUGGCUGGGGGUGAAAGGCCAAUCAAACCGGGAGAUAGCUGGUUCUCCCCGAAAGCUAUUUAGGUAGCGCCUCGUGAAUUCAUCUCCGGGGGUAGAGCACUGUUUCGGCAAGGGGGUCAUCCCGACUUACCAACCCGAUGCAAACUGCGAAUACCGGAGAAUGUUAUCACGGAGACACACGGCGGUGCUAACGUCCGUCGUGAGACAACCAGCCAAAGGUCCCAAAGUCAUGGUUAAGUGGGAAACGAUGUGGGAAGGCCCAGACAGCCGAUGUUGGCUCAGCGUAAUAGCUCACUGGUCGAGUCGGCCUGCGCGGAAGAUGUAACGGGCUAAACCAUGCACCGAAGCUGCGGCAGCGACACUAUGUGUUGUUGGGUAGGGAAGCCUGUGAAGGUCUGUAAGCCUGAAGACCAAGGGUUCCUGUCCAACGUUAAUCGGGGCAGGGUGAGUCGACCCCUAAGGCGAGGCCGAAAGGCGUAGUCGAUGGGAAACAGGUUAAUAUUCCUGUACUUGGUGUUACUGCGAAGGGGGGACGGAGAAGGCUAUGUUGGCCGGGCGACGGUUGUCCCGGUUUAAGCGUGUAGGCUGGUUUUCGGCAAAUCCGGAAAAUCAAGGCUGAGGCGUGAUGACGAGGCACUACGGUGCUGAAGCGACAAAUGCCCUGCUUCCAGGAAAAGCCUCUAAGCAUCAGGUAACAUCAAAUCGUACCCCAAACCGACACAGGUGGUCAGGUAGAGAAUACCAAGGCGCUUGAGAGAACUCGGGUGAAGGAACUAGGCAAAAUGGUGCCGUAACUUCGGGAGAAGGCACGCUGAUAUGUAGGUGAAGCGACUUGCUCGUGGAGCUGAAAUCAGUCGAAGAUACCAGCUGGCUGCAACUGUUUAUUAAAAACACAGCACUGUGCAAACACGAAAGUGGACGUAUACGGUGUGACGCCUGCCCGGUGCCGGAAGGUUAAUUGAUGGGGUUAGCGGUAACGCGAAGCUCUUGAUCGAAGCCCCGGUAAACGGCGGCCGUAACUAUAACGGUCCUAAGGUAGCGAAAUUCCUUGUCGGGUAAGUUCCGACCUGCACGAAUGGCGUAAUGAUGGCCAGGCUGUCUCCACCCGAGACUCAGUGAAAUUGAACUCGCUGUGAAGAUGCAGUGUACCCGCGGCAAGACGGAAAGACCCCGUGAACCUUUACUAUAGCUUGACACUGAACAUUGAGCCUUGAUGUGUAGGAUAGGUGGGAGGCUUUGAAGUGUGGACGCCAGUCUGCAUGGAGCCGACCUUGAAAUACCACUUUAAUGUUUGAUGUUCUAACGUGGGCCCCUUACCGGGGUUGCGGACAGUGUCUGGUGGGUAGUUUGACUGGGGCGGUCUCCUCCUAAAGAGUAACGGAGGAGCACGAAGGUUGGCUAAUCCUGGUCGGACAUCAGGAGGUUAGUGCAAUGGCAUAAGCCAGCUUGACUGCGAGCGUGACGGCGCGAGCAGGUGCGAGCAGGUCAUAGUGAUCCGGUGGUUCUGAAUGGAAGGGCCAUCGCUCAACGGAUAAAAGGUACUCCGGGAUAACAGGCUGAUACCGCCCAAGAGUUCAUAUCGACGGCGGUGUUUGGCACCUCGAUGUCGGCUCAUCACAUCCUCGGGCUGAAGUAGGUCCCAAGGUAUGGCUGUUCGCCAUUUAAAGUGGUACGCGAGCUGGGUUUAGAACGUCGUGAGACAGUUCGGUCCCUGCCGUGGGCGCUGGAGAACUGAGGGGGGCUGCUCCUAGUACGAGAGGACCGGAGUGGACGCAUCACUGGUGUUCGGGUUGUCAUGCCAAUGGCACUGCCCGGUAGCUAAAUGCGGAAGAGAUAAGUGCUGAAAGCAUCUAAGCACGAAACUUGCCCCGAGAUGAGUUCUCCCUGACUCCUUGAGAGUCCUGAAGGAACGUUGAAGACGACGACGUUGAUAGGCCGGGUGUGUAAGCGCAGCGAUGCGUUGAGCUAACCGGUACUAAUGAACCGUGAGGCUUAACCUUACAACGCCGAAG
rnacentral:rRNA from 1 species